AUCAUUAGAAAAUGGUGAAACUUUCUAGGAAAUGAAAGAGUAAGUAUUAUUUUUCAGGUGGUUCCUAUUAUCAUGUUUUGUUUUUUAUGGAGAAAAAGAAAUGUUAUUCUACAUAGAGGCAAAUAUUCAAAAUGGUAAAAUUAUUUUUAAUAUUACAAGUUCCAUAACAAAAUUCCUAAAAGCUAGAUAAAAUAGUGUUGAGUUUUGUCAUGACCCGAGGCUACCCCCUAGUCACGACAAUGGUG
rnacentral:lncRNA from 1 species